UACGUAGGGCGCAAGCGUUAUCCGGAAUUACUGGGCGUAAAGCGCACGUAGGCGGCUUUGUAAGUUAGAGGUGAAAGCCCGGAGCUCAACUCCGGAAUUGCCUUUAAGACUGCAUCGCUAGAAUUGUGGAGAGGUGAGUGGAAUUCCGAGUGUAGAGGUGAAAUUCGUAGAUAUUCGGAAGAACACCAGUGGCGAAGGCGACUCACUGGACACAUAUUGACGCUGAGGUGCGAAAGCGUGGGGGGCAAACAGG
rnacentral:rRNA from 1 species